GGGCGAGUAGCUCAGUGGUUAGAGCGCCUGUUUCACACGCAGGAGGUCAUAGGUUCAAUUCCUAUCUCGCCCA
rnacentral:tRNA from 2 species